UUUGGGAUUGUGAAACCAUUGAAGAUGAAGUUAUUGAUGGCUUCCCUGAAAGCUCCUUGGAGUGGAGGGGCGAGUCUCAUGACUUCACAAGCUACGUUCCAACAGAUGAAAU